rnacentral:rRNA from 1 species
UACAGAGGGUGCGAGCGUUAAUCGGAUUUACUGGGCGUAAAGCGCGCGUAGGUGGUUAAUUAAGUUGGAUGUGAAAUCCCCGAGCUCAACCUGGGAACUGCAUCUGAUACUGGCAAGCUUGAGUCUCGUAGAGGGGGGUAGAAUUCCAGGUGUAGCGGUGAAAUGCGUAGAGAUCUGGAGGAAUACCGGUGGCGAAGGCGGCCCCCUGGACGAAGACUGACGCUCAGGUGCGAAAGCGUGGGGAGCAAACAGG